rnacentral:rRNA from 1 species
UACGAAGGGUGCUAGCGUUGUUCGGAAUUACUGGGCGUAAAGCGCGCGUAGGCUGUUUAUCAAGUCAGAGGUGAAAGCCCUGGGCUCAACCCAGGAAUUGCCUUUGAAACUGAUAGACUUGAGUACUGGAGGGGAUAGCGGAAUUCCUAAUGUAGAGGUGAAAUUCGUAGAUAUUAGGAGGAACACCGGUGGCGAAGGCGGCUAUCUGGACAGUAACUGACGCUGAGGCGCGAAAGCGUGGGGAUCAAACAGG